rnacentral:rRNA from 1 species
ACGCGUGGAACCUUACCAGGUCUUGACAUCCCGCUGACCGAUCUGGAGACAGAUCUUCCCCUUCGGGGGCAGCGGUGACAGGUGGUGCAUGGUUGUCGUCAGCUCGUGUCGUGAGAUGUUGGGUUAAGUCCCGCAACGAGCGCAACCCUUGAUCUUAGUUGCCAGCAUUUAGUUGGGCACUCUAAGGUGACUGCCGGUGACAAACCGGAGGAAGGUGGGGAUGACGUCAAAUCAUCAUGCCCCUUAUGACCUGGGCUACACACGUGCUACAAUGGAUGGUACAAAGGGCAGCAAAGCGGCGACGCCUAGCAAAUCCCAUAAAACCAUUCUCAGUUCGGAUUGUAGGCUGCAACUCGCCUACAUGAAGCUGGAAUCGCUAGUAAUCGCGGAUCAGCAUGCCGCGGUGAAUACGUUCCCGGGCCUUGCACACACCGCCCGU